rnacentral:rRNA from 1 species
GACGAACCGUGCGAACGUUAUUCGGAAUCACUGGGCUUAAAGCGCGUGUAGGCGGAUGGGGACGUCGGUCGCUGAAAGCCCCCGCUCAACCGGGGAAGUGGCGCCGAAACGCCCCGUCUGGAGGGACGUAGGGGGACCUGGAACUUCCGGUGGAGCGGUGAAAUGCGUUGAGAUCGGAAGGAACGCCCGUGGCGAAAGCGAGGUCCUGGACGUCUGCUGACGCUGAGACGCGAAAAGCUAGGGGGAGCGAAACGGG